rnacentral:rRNA from 1 species
UACGGAGGGAGCUAGCGUUGUUCGGAAAUACUGGGCGUAAAGCGCACGUAGGCGGCGCAGCAAGUCAGGGGUGAAAAUCCCGGGGCUCAACCCCCGGAACUGCCCCUUGAAAACUGCAGUGCUAGAAUUCUGGAGAGGCGAGUGGAAUUCCGAGUGUAGAGGUGAAAUUCGUAGAUAUUCGCAAGAACACCAGUGGCGAAGGCGGCUCACUGGCCCGGUACUGACGCUGAGGUGCGAAAGCGUGGGGAGCAAACAGGG